CGAGGAAGACAGUCCACGUGUGAGAGUAGCAUUCCUCCAGCUUGAGCAGGGGUGUUGGAGCAGCGUGCAGCUCAGCUCUCCCAGCUCCGGGUGGGAGAGGGUAGAGCUAUUUCACUUGGCACCCCGGCACAGGAUGGGCCCCUUUCUUGGCUGCAGCCCCAGCGGAUUGGUCUCUGUGCUCAUUCGCCCGGGCCUUUUCGAAGUUCUAUAUCCAAAGCUAUGCAUCGUCAUACAUAUCUUUUUUUUUUUUUUUCACACUAGCAAAAAAAAAGAAAAAGUACUGGCAAGUAUUUUUUUCAGGGACACUAUGUCCUUUGUCAUCAUCUUUGUAUGAUGUUUGCAUGCUAUGGUAGGAUUUUCAUAAAUGUAAAAACAUCUUAGCCAUCUAUCUAGUAAAAAUGGUCUAAGCGGGAAUACAUUUGGCAACUCACAAUUUAUUUUGAUACAAACAAUGAUCUGUUCCCUUGGGUUUACUCAGAAUGUUUAUUUUAGAUUUGUUUUCUUUCAUUUCUUACUUUGCCAACAAAAAAGCUUUGUUUUCCCUGGGUGGACAGUGUAAUGUCCUAGUGUAAUCUAGAGGAACUCUGAAAUCUGUUAUGGAGUCUGCAGUCAGAAGUGUUGAGUCUGAAGAAAGACAGAAGCAAUCAGAGGGCGGGCUUCAUCAAUGGAUUAUAAAAUAUGUUGCCAGUUCUGGCAUGAGUCUACUACAGCAAACAAUUGGUUUGUGUGUGUGUGUGUGUCUGUCUGUGUCUGUAUGUGUGUCUGUCUGUCUGUGUGUGUGUGUCUGUGUUUGUCUGUCUGUCUGUCUGUGUGUGUGUGUGUGUAUGUGUGUGCGUGAGAAUCAGUGGUGUUCCAUAGGUGGAAUGAUUGGCAUGGUUCUCUUAGUUCUUCCAGGGAGUCUGGAUGAAAUCUCUAUUCUGAAGGGUGUGCACAAAUCUCUUUCUCUUUUUUUCUCUCUCUCUCUUUUUCUCUGUCUCUUUUUCUCUCUCAACACACUCAUGGUCAUGGGCUGCUGAAUCUCAGCUCUUUCACACCAAGAACAUACAAGGACAAAGAAUGUUAAUGACCUGGACCAGAUUCAGCGUUCACCGUCUCUCUCCCUCGUUCUCUCCCUCCCCCUCUCUCUCUCUCUUUCUCUGUCUCCUCCUCUCUCUCCUUGCCCUCCCCACUUUCUUCCUAUCUCUCAGACUCUCUCGCCCAUACAUAGGCAAGUCUAACAUGGCCAGGCAAAUCCCUCUCUCUCUCUCUCUCUCUCUCUCUCUCUCUUUCUCUCUCUCUCCUUCUUUCUCCUUCUUCAGAUUCUGACGGACACAGCUCAGAUAGCCGGCACUGCGCUUUUGAUUGACUUUCAAUUGAACCGUUGACCACGAUAAGGUCAGAACUCAUGCAGAGCUUUUGGUUGCUCAGAUCUUUUCACUGACUAAACAAAAGCCACAUAGAUAAUGCUGUUGACUCUACUCCUGAGACAGGUUGUUCUUUUACCUCUGCCAAACACACACACACACACACACACACACACACACACACACACACACACACACACACACACACAUGCACAUUUAGUUGCAAUAGCAUGACUGGAUUCAUUUUGUGGCCAUUGAAUGUACUGAUCACAAGUAAAACUACACACAAAUAAAACUUCCAUAUUGUCAUUUAAUGAAAAGGAGUUAUUUGAUUAGUGUUACAUUAAAGCUAUUUUCCUUUAUGAGAGUUUAACCUCAUAAAAUACCUUGAUAAAAUGCUGCCUCAGCACAAAACCUGAUCGUUGUCAGCCUAGCAGAACAAUGAUAUUGUGCCUACUGAAAUACUGUCAUCCAUAAUUGCAUUGGAGGGAUCACUUCGGUACUGCACCAUAUCAUAGUCAGAAUAAUGCACUUUAAGGUCCAACAGAAGAAGAUUAAGCUGCAAUCAAUGUCAUGCACAAUGUGCUGCAGUGAAAUCUGAUAACUUACAGCCCCCUUGCACAUAUAGAUGAUUAUUGAUAAAAUCAAUAAUCAAUAAGGUAAUUGAAUUCAGUGUUCUUUUUUUGACAUCUAAAUGGUGAGGAAGAGCUGAAAAGUCAGAUUGCAGGAAAUUGGAACCAGUCAUUUUUUUUAUCCGUUUGUAAUAUAAAUAAAUAACGGGUCGUUUUACAGAUCCCUGUGGUUAUAUGGCCAAUAGCCAAAUCUGCCACAAAGCACACACAGUUAUGGGGACACAGCUUACUGUAUGUAGACAUAAGAUAUGACUGCACAUACAUUCAACCCUGCAGGGGCACUGAAGUGACCAACUGCACAUCUGGUCAUGUGAACCAAAUGCAAGGUCACUGAAGCGUUUCCUUUUUUGCCAGACAAGGAGAAAAAAAAUACUGUCCAAUGCGGCUUGUGCAAUCUCCAGUUGCGUACUCACUGUGAAACAUAUAGCUGCUAUGGCAGCCGUGACCUCACCCUGUCACCGCUAUAAGGUAUAUGGUGUGAAAGGUUGCUGACAGUGCCGCGUGCUGUUGUUUUGGGUGAAACCCGAGGCUGUCCGAAAAUAUUCUAGAUAAAUAUCUUAAAUCUGCCGAAGUGCGUAUAACUCACUGAGGUGUCAAGGGAGGGGGUGAAAUAUCUGUAGAGCUGUGGAACCUAGAAGGGUUCAAGAGUCGAUCUCCUGGAUAUAUAGUAUGAGGGGAAGGUUCUCUCCAAACACUGGAGCUGACGAAUUUACCGGAGGCUCUUGUUGAAGGAAACAGUUGAGAGCACUUAGGGGUUUGAGAGGUAAGAGAAAAAAAUGCAGGUAUAGCCGUGCAACAAUGGUGUCUUGUGUCAAUGUGGGCAGAACCCAAAUGUAUUCAGGUGACCUACAUAGUUUAAUGUGAUCCAUGGCCUCGCAUUCUCAUCUGUCUGUAACUGAAAGCGUGGUUUCACUGAUCCACCCUCCUUCAAGCAUGCACACCACAUAUGUUACCUAGAUAAGAGAUGUCUAGCUGAGGUACGUUGUGGUCAUUUUUUCCCAUUGGCUCACUCACGCUGUCUUCUGUUCCUGACUGUGCGACUGUUUGCUUGCUUUGCUGCCAGUUACUCUGUAAUUGUGUUGGCAAACGUUCACUGAAAUGGUGAGACUUCAUCACGUCAACUUCAAAGCAAAGUGAAGUAGUUGCAUCAUUUAUGCUGUUUUCAUUUGAAAAUAGUAAAAGUAGGAUUCGAGGGAUGUGCGGUCUUCUGUAUCUUUUCAUUCAGUUGGGGGAUGUUAAAUUACAAAGUGAAUGCUUGAACAACGAAAGGCAAUGAAGUUCACAAGUUUGUGCAAUGAACAUUGCAGAUAAGACUCCAGACAUGAUUGGUACCAGAUAGCAAACCUGAUUCGUUGAGUGUACAAUAAAGCCGAGAGAGACAUUUCUCAUCGGCUGUCUCGCUUUGUGGGAGCAUGUCAUCAAGCCCCCAUGUUUAUCAGAGGUGCCCUUUCCUGUUUCACCUGACGGUCCUGAUAGAACUGCAGUCUGCUCUCAUAUCGGCCAUGUCCCUGAAUGUCAUCAGAUUUGUUCUCUAUAAAAUGUAACCUUUUCAGGCAUACAGACAGAAGGAAGGGGAAGGCACAAGUGGCAGAGAUUCUUAAAUGGCAUGAAGGUACUUGGGAAUAAUUGGAUGUUUGUAUGAGAUAUGGGGUGUGUUCAUUGGAGGAAAGUGGGUUCUGACUUUGGCUGCUCCUCAGUAUUUGAACCAUGGGUCAUGUUAAAAUGAGGGUGACUAUUUUUGAUGGGGCUGUCAAAUAGGGGUGGGCGAUAUGACCAAAAUCUUCUAUCACGCUAUUUGUAAUUUUAUAUCACGGUUACGGUAUAUAUCACGGUUUAUUAUACGUAGGGUGACCAGAUUUUGGUUUUUGAAAAAGAGGACACUUCAGCGGUGGCGAAAUGUGUCCACAGACAUUUAUUUAUUGACCCUUAAGAACACUAAGGUGCAGAAACAAUACUGCCUCAAUAGGCUAUUGGCCUAAGCAAUAGUGGCCAGUAUCCAUUGAAUCUUUAAAUAGUAAAAUUAAAGCAAAGUGUAUGAAAAAAAAAAGAAAAAGGAAAAAUCUUUCUGUGGCAUUUAGUCCAGUGCUUAUGUUUCAGUGGUUCUUUAAUGUACUUUCAGAAGAUAACUCAAGUGUUAAAACUUUCUUUUCAAUCUUUGUCCAUAUGUUAACGCAAUAAUGAUGAGAUAUUUUCUUUAUAUGGCCACAUAUUAAAAUAAGAAAAUUAAGAAGUUGGCCAUUAUACAUAGACAUAUAUACAUAGACGCUCCAUUGACCGCCUCAGCCCGUUGCUGCGACGUCCUAACGUGAUGACGAGGUGAUGACCUGUAAACAGACGCAAGUAAAUGAUGCGGUUUUUCUGGAUAAAAAGGACUAUAGCGUUUAUAUUUCUCAAAUAGAUUUCACUGAGUCAUUUUUAUAUUCAAGGGUUUAUGAUCUACAUGGAGUACCAAAACAAGUUUUGUCCCCAUGUUACUUACUUAGAAUCUCGUUGGUUUGGCCGUAAUCGCCGUUGACAUACAUACAUGUAUAUGUCUAUGAUAAUCGCUGCUAGACGCUCACUGUUCUUGUGCUCUCACAGCUCAUUCACUUUGAAAUACUGAAAAGAAAUCUAAACUAUCGAAAAAGUGCAUCUUUAACUACUAAUAUUUGACCAUCAUUGAGAAAAAUGGAACAGAAUCUGCAAAUAAAUGCCUACACUAGACACUUUUCAGUCCAUAUUUUUCAGUAUAUUGAAUCUUUCCCAACAGUCGAGGAUUACUCAACAAGUAGGCAUGACAGUCCUUGCAGGUUAUGUGCUUAAAAAUUGUACUGGGUAUCGUAUUAUACGGCUCUUCAGAACGUUCAAAAAAGUUCUGUUGAUUUGAAUGGGCCACCCCAACGUUCACAGGUCUGUAAUUUCUUUGGUUUCACUGCUGCGAAAAUGUAAUGACCGCUGACCAUCUUUCAUAUCAUUCAGCAAGUAGUCCGGUCAUUUAACGUAACGGGAAGUAAUGGGUUGCUACGCAACACCUGAAACUUUAGAGUUCUAUUUGCCUGAAGAACUCAGCAGAAAUCACAAAAUGGCAACAAAAUCGUUAAAGAGGUAUUUUUGGAGGAAUGUCUAUCGUUUUGGCGAGUUACUGUAUAAUAAGAGGGAUGAUGUAUAGUUCGGAGGUCAUUAUCUAAAAAUAAAUCGAUUGGAUUUCAAAAUAAGAGUAUACCGCGGUUGAAACGGUAUGGCCAAAUCUCUCCUGGUAGACACAUUUCUACCGUUGCACGGUAUAUACCGUCAUACCACCCAGCCCUACUGUCAAAUACUGACUAGAUUAGUGGCCUGGAUAUUGUUUAGAAGGGCUUUGUUUAGCUUAGUGUAUAAGUGUCUGUGAAAACAUUAAAACGAAUAAAUCUGCCAUUUAAAGUCUUACUCCAGCCUCAGAUGGAGAAUGCACUGCCUGCAUGCGUUAGCCGCAGACUUCCUUCAGCCUGAAAGCUAAACACCCGCCACACUGCACCCGCUACACCAAGCUCGUAAAAAGCCUCACGAGACUGAAGACAUACACAUGAGCCAUGUGACCCUAACCGCAAGCACGGGGUCAAGGUAUGAUUGUAUGCUUAGUAUGGUGUCGACUAGCCAAUAAAACGGCAAAAGCCAAACAAGUGCUUGUAACCGGGUGGUCGGCCCACGUAUUCCAACAGAUGUCUAUUUUUACAGCUUGCAAAUGGAUGUAAAUAUAGAUCUAUGUCCUCCAUGCUGAUAUAUUUUUGUCAUGCGUAUCAUGACUUGCAAGAAAAAAAUUACGAAAGAAUUUUGAAAAUCUUCACUCGAAGUGCGAGGGUGAGGUGUUAUUCUCGGGUGAAGUAUAUUUUGGGUGGGAGCCCGUGUCAUGUGCGAUAUAGCUCUGCUUUGUGGUUGCAGCAGCCAGGUUCCUGCGCAAAUUUACACAGUGUCUUGUUUGAGCUGCCGUGCAUAUAUUGAUAGGUAGUCGUUUGGUUAGCCUUAGGUCUCGGCAAGACACCUCAGUUAACUCUAGGAUUAGGCAUAAGCCUUUUAGGGUUAAGCCAGUCACAUGAGAUACUCUGACAGAACGACUCUGGAACAAUCUUCACUGACCACCAUCCCAUCAAGUUUUUAUAGUUUGUUUGGAGAUACUUUCGCUUUGGCCUUGACCCCAUCCAGCCCACUGGUGGAAAUCUUGCUGCUUAAGAAGACACUGGUGUGGCACUUGGUGUUUGUUAGGUGAAAAAUUCACUCGAUUCAUGUGACCAAUGAGAAGUCCUUGUGUGAGUGCUCCUUCAUUUCAUGGAUUUUAACCGUAAUGGGAUUCCGGGUGCUUCUGCGAUCAACUCCCCAGAUUGUCCCAUGGUGGUUAGUUCUCUGUUGAGUGCCCCCUGUGAUAUUAAAAGCAGGUUGUUUGGGACAGAACCUGAUCGAUUGGAGACACAAAACACUUGACACUGCAGCUGAAGAGGAGGGCGGUGGCCAGCAGUCACAGCGAGCCGGAGCCUGGGGAAAUCAUUAACCAGACGAACCACAGCGGGACUCUGUGGACCUUUAAAAUGGACUCUGUCCCUUGCUCUUAGCUACAGCAUAGGGGUGAAGGACGCCACGUCAGCAAGCCAUACAGUAUUUACUUAAUAGAAAGUAAGUGAAAUAGAGUGGAAGUGAGUUUAGGGAUGUGCACCUCUCUCUUUCUCUCUCUCUUUCUCUCUUUCCGUCUCGCUCUCUCUCUAUCUGUUUUUUGGUGUAUAUGGGUAUGCACAUGCGUGCAAGUCUACACUAGC
ensembl:lncRNA